UACGGGGGGGAGCAAGCGUUGUUCGGAUUUACUGGGCGUAAAGGGCGCGUAGGCGGCCACCGCAAGUCGACUGUGAAAUCUCCGGGCUUAACCCGGAAAGGUCAGCCGAUACUGCGGGGCUAGAGUGCAGAAAGGGGGCAACUGGAAUUCUCGGUGUAGCGGUGAAAUGCGUAGAUAUCAGGAGGAACACCGGUGGCGAAGGC
rnacentral:rRNA from 1 species